rnacentral:rRNA from 1 species
CGUUAUUCGGAAUUACUGGGCGUAAAGCGCACGUAGGCGGCUUUGUAAGUUAGAGGUGAAAGCCUGGAGCUCAACUCCAGAACUGCCUUUAAAACUGCAUCGCUUGAAUCCAGGAGAGGUGAGUGGAAUUCCGAGUGUAGAGGUGAAAUUCGUAGAUAUUCGGAAGAACACCAGUGGCGAAGGCGGCUCACUGGACUGGUAUUGACGCUGAGGUGCGAAAGCGUGGGGAGCAAACAGG